AGCCUGAACGCUGGCGGCGUGGCUAAGACAUGCAAGUCGCACGGUGUAGCAAUACACAGUGGCGAACGGGUGAGUAAUGAAUCGCUAAUGUACCCCGGACUCUGGGAUAGCCAGCCGAAAGGCUGGGUAAUACCAGAUGAUAUAACCGAUCCGCAUGGGUUGGUUCUCAAAGGUCCGCCGGUCUGGGAGCAGGCGAUUUCGUAUCAGCUAGUUGGUGAGGUAACGGCUCACCAAGGCGACGACGCGUAGCCGGACUGAGAGGUUGGCCGGCCACAUUGGGACUGAGACACUGCCCAGACUCCUACGGGGGGCUGCAGUAACGAAUCUUCGCAAUGCACGAAAGUGUGACGGAGCGACGCCGCGUGUAGGACGAAGCCCUUCGGGGUGUAAACUACUGUCAGGGGUAAGAAAGUUCAGAUCUAACCCCAGGAAGGAAGGGACGGACUAACUCGUGCGCCGAGCAGCCGAC
rnacentral:rRNA from 1 species